UACAGAGGGUGCGAGCGUUAAUCGGAAUUACUGGGCGUAAAGCGUGCGUAGACGGCUAUCUAAGUCGGGUGUGAAAGCCCCGGGCUCAACCUGGGAAUUGCAUUCGAGACUGAAUAGCUAGAGUCCGGAAGAGGCGAGUGGAAUUCCCGGUGUAGCGGUGAAAUGCGCAGAUAUCGGGAGGAACACCAAUGGCGAAGGCAGCUCGCUGGGACGGUACUGACGCUGAGGCGCGAAAGCGUGGGGAGCAAACAGG
rnacentral:rRNA from 1 species